GGGGCAACCAUGAUUCGUCCAUGCUGUGCUGUAAACAGUUGUGACCAAAGAGGACUCUGCUUCAUAAGAAGAUUCCAAGAGUUUAAUCUCUUCAAGCCUCUCAAGGAAGGACAGGCCAUCAACAGAGAAACACAGACAGGAACCCCUCCCUGUGCUAGGACAGCAGAGAAAUGGUAAAACUGAACACAACAAUGGAUGUGGCUAUUUGAAACAGGGACAAAGAAGAGACAUUGGAAUACCUUGCAUGGGCAAAAUGGAGGCAGCAAGGCUGAAGUUGGGAGGAUCAGAGGAUGAUUGCCUCAUCUCUAUCACAUGAGGAUGCUACAGCAAUAGGAGCCUGUUUCAUAGUUACAAUUUUUGGGAAGGAUCUCUAUUUUUUAUUUGGCUUAGAAAUGCUAUAUGGUGCUGGCAGCAGAAUAUAUUUUGGCAUGUUUUUGCAGCAAUUAUAAAAGUAUUUGGUUUCUGAGGAAGUGGAUUUUGUCCCAGAAAUAAAAUGGUUAGUCUUUAAAAUGCUACA
rnacentral:lncRNA from 1 species